GGCGCGGUACGCAAACCGGUAAAGCGGCGGAGCUCAAACCUCCGUGAAAUGUCUGUGGGUUCGAUUCCCUCCCGCGCUAC
rnacentral:tRNA from 3 species